CCCAUUGUCCCAGCCUCCAUCCGGGGUGAACACCAGCCCGUCGGCUCCCUCCCACCGGGCUGCAGCUCCUGCCUGGCCCCUGCCUGCUUCUCAGAGGCUGUCAUUUUUGGCAUCUGCCCGAGCGGGGGAGGGGAGUCUCUGAAGCAGGUGUCCAGGAUGGGGUAGAGCUUGCCCUGGAAGUCGGCCUGGAACGUGUAGAGGGGCCGCAGGUCAUCGGGCCGGUCGGCGUCGAAGAAGCUCCAGGAGUGGGUGCGCGGUGGCCGGGUCCAGCUUCAGCGACUCCGGGGCUAGGAAAGAGGCCAGAGAGAGGCUGGUGUGAAGCCGAGGGGAAGGCGGCCGGCGCUGGCCCUGGACAGCCCCCAGGGUCUCGGUGGGCCCAGGAAGGGGCUGCCUGCUGAACGGAUGCCAACGACGUAAGGUGCAGAGAGCAGGCACCGAGCAGAGGGACCCGCGGAUGGCAGCCACCAACAGGGGCCCAGCCCCGCCCUCUCGGCGGCCGGGAGACUCCGCAGCGCCUGCGCCACUCCGUGAGUCCCCGCUGGUCCACUGACCCCGAAAUGUGCGAGCGGGCGCCAGUGAACAGCGAACACGCCGCCAUGUCCUCUCCGCACCCCCUCUUUCAUUUUCUUUAAAUAGAACCCUGUUUCCGCUUCACUAGUGACAUCAGUCCACUGAGUAAGCGCUGGCUGAGGACGAGUAAGCAGCAGGCUGGCGGCCAUGUAGGAGUUAAUUAAAUGUCUUUGACUUGUUCUGUUUCUAAGUAUUUUGCCGUUCUCACGUCUCCAGGUUUGAAUUUACUUGUUUGAAAGGCAGAGAGACAGAGAUAGUCCAUCGGCUGGUUCACUCUCCUAAUGCCUACAACAGCCAGGGCUGGACCAGGCGGAAGCCAGGAGCCAGGAGCCCCAUCUCCACCUCCCCCACAGGGAGAGGGGCCCAGGUAUUUGAGACCUCGAUGCUGCCUCCCAGGUGCGCGGCAGCAGGAAGCUGAAAGCUGAGCUGAUCGGGACGCAGCCCUGGCCCGCUGCACCACGCACACACCCCUGAGUGAUCUGCACAGAGCACCAAACCUCACCUCUGACAGAUGGCCUGAGGCUGACAGGCCACAGCCUGCCCGGUCCUGGCCAGUGCCGUGUGGGGCUGAGCUGGAACCCGAGUCUCGGGGGACAACCCCGCCCCCGCCCCGCGCUCUCCCCGCUGCCCACGCCCGCCCCGCUCUGCAUCCCCACCGCUGAGACCUCUUCAAGAGGCGGGG